rnacentral:lncRNA from 1 species
CAAUAAGAACAGAAAAUAGAUUAGAUAAUGAUUCAGCACAAGUAGAAAUAAAGAAAGAAUUGACAGUAAGAAAUUAAAAGAUAAGUCCUAAGAAGCCUUGAAAUCUCGAAAGAUCUCACAACUCCCUUCAAACGGCUCUAAUCUCCCCUCCAAAGAAUAUCAAUGGCAAGAAGAAGGUUGAAGAUGGCUCCCACAAUCACAAGAUUGUUAAAACAACUUCUAAAGAAAACUCAAGAGAGAAAUCUUGGAGAAAACUCAAAGAAAAUUCUGCUCUCAACAAAUCUGAAAUUUUAAUAAUAAUGAUAAGUGUUUAACAAGGUGGACAGUCAUGCCUUUAAAUAGGCCUUAUAACUAGUCCUAAUCUAAUUAGAAA